rnacentral:tRNA from 1 species
AGGAUUAUAGUUUAAAAAAAACAUUUGAUUUGCAUUCAAAAAAUAUUAAAUAAAUUAAUUUAUCUUA